GGGGUUGUGGCUCAGUGGUAGAGCACUUUGCCUCCCACGCAUGAGGCACUGAGUUUAAUCCUCAGCACCACA
rnacentral:tRNA from 1 species